AUGGCCGGCCGCGGAGAGGAGCUGAAGCUGCUGGGCAUGUGGGCGAGCCCGUUCGUGGUGCGGGUGCAGAUCGCGCUCCGCCUCAAGGGCCUCAGCUACGAGUACGUGGAGGAGGACCUGCAGAGCAAGAGCGAGCUGCUCCUGAGGUCCAACCCUGCCCACGCCGGCAAGGUGCCGGUGCUCAUCCACAACGGCAAGCCCGUCUGCGAGUCGUCGGUCAUCCUGCGGUACAUCGACGAGGCCUUCUCCGGCUCCGGGCCCUCCCUCCUCCCCGCCGACCCCUACGGCCGAGCCGUCGCUCUCUUCUGGGCCGUUUUCGUCGACGACACGCUGUUGAAGGCGCGGAGCCAGGCGUUGAGAGGCGAGACGGUCGAAGAGAAGGAGGAGGGGAGGAAGAAGGCGGCCGUGGCCAUGGAAACCUUGGAGGGGGUGUUGAUGGAGUCCAAGGCGAGGUUCUUCAGCGGCAGGGAUGUACCCGGCUACCUAGACAUCAUGCUCGGCGGCCUCCUCGGCUCGAUGCGCGCGACGGAGGAGAUGUGUGGGCUCCAGACCUUCGACCCGACCACCACGCCGCUCCUGGCCGCAUGGGCGGAGCUCUUCUGCGCGCUGGACGCGGUGGAGCUAGUCAUGCCGCGCGUCGAGAGGCUCGUCGAGUAUGCCGAGGCGAUGCAGCAGCCUCGCACCGCCGUGUCCAGCACCACCAACUGA
rnacentral:rRNA from 1 species